GUGAAGCUGUCAUCUCACACAGCUCUCUCUCUCUCUCUCUCUCUCUCUCUCUGUGUGUGUGUGUGUGUGUGAGAGAGAGAGAGAGAGAGAGAGAGAGAGAGAGAGAUGAAAGGGCAGCAAAUGGU